AGCAGCCGCGGUAAUUCCAGCUCCAAUAGCGUAUAUUAAAGUUGCUGCAGUUAAAAAGCUCGUAGUUGAAUUUCGGGACCAAUAUGUCGGUCGUGCCUCGGUACGUACUGGCAUCGUUGGUUUCUCCCUUCUGACGAACCAUGAUGUCAUUUAUUUGGUGUCGUGGGGAAUCAGGACUGUUACUUUGAAAAAUUAGAGUGUUUAAAGCAGGCUCACGCUUGAAUACAUUAGCAUGGAAUAAUGAAAUAGGACGCUUGAUUCUAUUUUGUUGGUUUCUAGGAUCGACGUAAUGAUUAAUAGGGAUAGUUGGGGGCAUUAGUAUUCAAUUGUCAGAGGUGAAAUUCUUGGAUUUAUUGAAGACUAACUACUGCGAAAGCAUUUGCCAAGGAUGUUUUCAUUA
rnacentral:rRNA from 1 species